UUCCUUUGAGUUUCAGCCUUGCGACCAUACUCCCCAGGCGGAGCACUUAACACUUUCGCCUCGGUCGGAAACCUGUGGAGGAGCCUCCAACCUAGUGCUCAUCGUUUACAGCUAGGACUACCGGGGUAUCUAAUCCCGUUCGCUACCCUAGCUUUCGUGCCUCAGCGUCAGAAAAGACCCAGUGAGCCGCUUUCGCCACAGGUGUUCCUAAUGAUAUCAACGCAUUUCACCGCUCCACCAUUAGUUCCGCUCACCUCUAUCUUCCUCUAGCUUGGCAGUUUUGAGCGCAGUUCCUCGGUUGAGCCGAGGGAUUUCACACCCAACUUGCCAAGCCGCCUACGCACCCUUUAUGCCCAGUGAUUCCGAAUAACGUUUGGACGGUUCGUCUUACCGCGGCUGCUGGCACGAACUUAGCCCGUCCUUCCUCUGAAGAUAGGUCAACUAUGGGGGAGAACCCCAUAGAUUUCCUCCCAACUGACAGCGGUUUACAACCCGAAGGCCUUCAUCCCGCACGCGGCGUCGCUCCGUCAGCCUUUCGCCCAUUGCGGA
rnacentral:rRNA from 1 species